UACGUAGGGUCCGAGCGUUGUCCGGAAUUACUGGGCGUAAAGAGCUCGUAGGUGGUUUGUCGCGUUGUUCGUGAAAACUCACAGCUUAACUGUGGGCGUGCGGGCGAUACGGGCAGACUAGAGUACUGCAGGGGAGACUGGAAUUCCUGGUGUAGCGGUGGAAUGCGCAGAUAUCAGGAGGAACACCGGUGGCGAAGGCGGGUCUCUGGGCAGUAACUGACGCUGAGGAGCGAAAAGCGUGGGGGAGCGAACAGG
rnacentral:rRNA from 1 species